rnacentral:lncRNA from 10 species
ACAUAGUCCCUGCCCUCUUUCUUUCUUGUUUGUUGUCUUUUCAUUAUUUUCUCCUGGGUUUUCUAACAACGUCUGACCUUUAUCCAUUAAAGUCUACCAGCUUGGCACUGUCUGAAGAUAUUGAUCUAGAGAAUGUCAUUUUGUGUGCAUAAUGUUUGCAGCGUCAACUGCACUAAACAUAAUUUGAUCUGGCCUUAAUUUCUCUGGGGCAUCAUAGGGAAUCCCAGUUAUUGUACAAUAUCAUAAUGCACUCAUGCCUUCAAUAGGGUUGCCACAUUUAGCAAAUAAAAUUACAGGACAUCCAGUUAAAUUAGAAUUUCUGAUAAUCAAUGAAUUUUU